GACGAACCGUGCGAAUGUUGUUCGGAAUCACUGGGCUUAAAGGGAGCGUAGGCGGGCUAUCAAGUCUGGGGUGAAAUGCCGCGGCUCAACCGUGGAACUGCCUUAGAUACUGACGGCCUCGAGGGAGAUAGGGGCAUGCGGAACUGUAGGUGGAGCGGUGAAAUGCGUUGAUAUCUACAGGAACUCCGGUGGCGAAAGCGGCGUGCUGGAUCUCUUCUGACGCUGAGGCUCGAAAGCUAGGGGAGCAAACGGG
rnacentral:rRNA from 1 species